UGGCGUAGUGCGCAAAGCCUCGGCUUUCUAAGCCGAAGGUCUCGGGUUCGAUUCCCGU
rfam:Habropoda laboriosa contig4168, whole genome shotgun sequence.